CGUGUAGGCGGCUUUGCAAGUCGGGUGUGAAAGCCCUCAGCUCAACUGAGGAAGUGCGCCCGAAACUGCAGAGCUUGAGUGCCGGAGAGGGUGGCGGAAUUCCCCAAGUAGAGGUGAAAUUCGUAGAUAUGGGGAGGAACACCGGUGGCGAAGGCGGCCACCUGGACGGUAACUGACGCUGAGACGCGAAAGCGUGGGGAGCAAACA
rnacentral:rRNA from 2 species